rnacentral:rRNA from 1 species
UACGUAGGGUGCGAGCGUUGUUCGGAAUUACUGGGCGUAAAGAGUGUGUAGGCGGUGCUCCAAGUCUGUUGUGAAAUCUCCCGGCUUAACUGGGAGGGUGCAGCGGAAACUGGAAUGCUUGAGGGUGGGAGAGGAAAGCGGAAUUCCUGGUGUAGCGGUGAAAUGCGUAGAUAUCAGGAGGAACACCUGUGGUGUAGACAGCUUUCUGGACCACUUCUGACGCUGAGACACGAAAGCGUGGGUAGCAAACAGG